GGCCUAACACAUGCAAGUCGAGCGGAAACGACACUAACAAUCCUUCGGGUGCGUUAAUGGGCGUCGAGCGGCGGACGGGUGAGUAAUGCCUAGGAAAUUGCCUUGAUGUGGGGGAUAACCAUUGGAAACGAUGGCUAAUACCGCAUAAUGCCUACGGGCCAAAGAGGGGGACCUUCGGGCCUCUCGCGUCAAGAUAUGCCUAGGUGGGAUUAGCUAGUUGGUGAGGUAAUGGCUCACCAAGGCGACGAUCCCUAGCUGGUCUGAGAGGAUGAUCAGCCACACUGGAACUGAGACACGGUCCAGACUCCUACGGGAGGCAGCAGUGGGGAAUAUUGCACAAUGGGCGAAAGCCUGAUGCAGCCAUGCCGCGUGUAUGAAGAAGGCCUUCGGGUUGUAAAGUACUUUCAGUUGUGAGGAAGGGGGUAGCGUUAAUAGCGCUAUCUCUUGACGUUAGCAACAGAAGAAGCACCGGCUAACUCCGUGCCAGCAGCCGCGGUAAUACGGAGGGUGCGAGCGUUAAUCGGAAUUACUGGGCGUAAAGCGCAUGCAGGUGGUUCAUUAAGUCAGAUGUGAAAGCCCGGGGCUCAACCUCGGAACUGCAUUUGAAACUGGUGAACUAGAGUACUGUAGAGGGGGGUAGAAUUUCAGGUGUAGCGGUGAAAUGCGUAGAGAUCUGAAGGAAUACCAGUGGCGAAGGCGGCUCCCUGGACAGAUACUGACACUCAGAUGCGAAAGCGUGGGGAGCAAACAGGAUUAGAUACCCUG
rnacentral:rRNA from 1 species